UGAGUAACACGUGAGUAACCUGCCCUUAACUCUGGGAUAAGCCUGGGAAACUGGGUCUAAUACCGGAUAUGACUCCUCAUCGCAUGGUGGGGGGUGGAAAGCUUUUUGUGGUUUUGGAUGGACUCGCGGCCUAUCAGCUUGUUGGUGAGGUAAUGGCUCACCAAGGCGACGACGGGUAGCCGGCCUGAGAGGGUGACCGGCCACACUGGGACUGAGACACGGCCCAGACUCCUACGGGAGGCAGCAGUGGGGAAUAUUGCACAAUGGGCGAAAGCCUGAUGCAGCGACGCCGCGUGAGGGAUGACGGCCUUCGGGUUGUAAACCUCUUUCAGUAGGGAAGAAGCGAAAGUGACGGUACCUGCAGAAGAAGCGCCGGCUAACUACGUGCCAGCAGCCGCGGUAAUACGUAGGGCGCAAGCGUUAUCCGGAAUUAUUG
rnacentral:rRNA from 1 species